rnacentral:tRNA from 1 species
AUUUAUAUAGUUUAAUACAAAACAUUACAUUUUCAUUGUAAAAAUAAAUAAAAUUUUAUAAAUA